GAUGAAGAACGCAGCGAAAUGCGAUAAGUAAUGUGAAUUGCAGAAUCCAGUGAAUCAUCGAAUCUUUGAACGCACAUUGCGCCCGCCAGCAUUCUGGCGGGCAUGCCUGUUCGAGCGUCAUUACAACCCUCAGGCCCCCGGGCCUGGCGUUGGGGAUCGGCGGAAGCCCCCUGUGGGCACACGCCGUCCCUCAAAUACAGUGGCGGUCCCGCCGCAGCUUCCAUUGCGUAGUAGCUAACACCUCGCAACUGGAGAGCGGCGCGGCCAUGCCGUAAAACACCCAACUUCUGAAUGUUGACCUCGAAUCAGGUAGGAAUACCCGCUGAACUUAAGCAUAUCAAUAAGCGGAGGA
rnacentral:misc_RNA from 1 species